UGCUGGAUGACCAGUAGUUUACCCUAUGUCACAACUGCCUUGGACUCUGUCAUAGUAACUAAGCUGCCAUGAGGCCCCAGGGAGAUUCUUCAGGGGAUGUCCAAAAUUUUUCUCUUCUGACCAACAGCACCCCUCCUGGACACAGAGAGAAACUUCAGGUGCAUGGAUGGGGCAGUUGACUUGAGGGAGCCAGCUAGGUUUGUGCUCUGCCUCACUGAGGGGGCUGCUGUGGAAACUGGAAUGCUGUAAGGAUGUCGCUCUUGAGAAGAGAGCACCAUGCUCAAAAGAAAAGAAAAGUUGGGUAAAUACACAACACACAAUCCCAUACUCAGAUUUGUAAGACAACCUGGUGGCCGCAGCUGCGCACGACAGUUUACUAAACCCAUCUCGGAACCCUGCAGCCUGGCGGUGGGUCUAAGAUCGCUAGGUCCCAAGAACCCUCCCAGAUCCUGCAAGCUGAGAGACCUGAGUGCUCCGAUGGUGGCUGAGGGGUUGAAGAUGAUCUCAGCCCCGUUGAUGCUGUACAUGAGCCAGUUGAGAGGGUGGUGCCGCCCAUAGCAAAUGUUCACCGCAAUCCUCCCGAACUGAGUCUGGAACACGGGGUGUCCGAGGUUUCCCUCCAUGUAGUAAGUUGACUGAAAAACAAGGGCCAUAUGUGAAAACCUCUGGGCUGUACGAUUUCUCUUUCCUUAGACUUGACGGAAAAAAUAAAAUAUUCCAGUUCUCUAAAAGUAA